UAUUAUUUAAAAUGUAAAUAUUAAUAUUAAAGUAGUAAUUGUUAUGUUCUUGAAACUUAAAAAAUUUGGCGGUAUUUUAGUCUAUCCAGAGGAACCUGUUCUAUAAUCGAUAAUCCACGAUGGACCUUACUUAAAUUUGUAUUCAGUUUAUAUACCGUCGUUAUCAGAAUAUUUUAUAAGAAUAUUAAUAUUCAAUAAUUUUUAUAAAAAUUUAUAUCAGAUCAAGGUGUAGCUAAUAUUUAAGUGGUAAUGGGUUACAAUAAAUUUAUUUAAAUGGAUAAAAUUAUGAAAAAAUUUUUGAAGGUGGAUUUGGUUGUAAAAUUAUAUAGAUUAAUAAUUUGAUUUUAGCUCUAAAAUAUGUACACAUCGCCCGUCGCUCUUAUUAUUAAGGUAAGAUAAGUCGUAACAUAGUAGAUGUACUGGAAAGUGUAUCUAGAAUGA
rnacentral:rRNA from 2 species